CAGUCGCGUUGGUUGGGAAUCAGUCUUGCUUCUGCAUGAUGUACUUCCUAGUCAAUGGGUCAACAUCAGUUUUGAUCACUGGAGAAAGGCUAGUUGAAUGUGGCAUCCUCGGAUGUGUUAUAGCUUCUAGUCAUAUACAGUGGUUGGGACUGAGGAACUCAGCACGCCGCAAGGCCCGGGUUUUUAACCACGUACGUGCUUAGGAUGUUGGCAUAAUGGCUUUAAGCGACCCGUCUUGAAACACGG
rnacentral:rRNA from 1 species